GCUAGUGGGUUUGAGUUUGUAACGGGUUGGGGUAUUUGGGCUGAAUUGGGUUUGUAGCGUCUAGGCUUAGGGUGUCUUGAAAUUUUAAGCUAGUUGGGCCUACUCAGAUUUGGCCCUGUUGUUGUAAAGACAUGGACUGUGCUAUUUUUUGGACUUUUAAUUAAUUUUUUUUAGUUUGAUUUUGUUUGUGAUUUUCGCCCGGGAAAAUUGGGCUUAUUACAGCUGCCCCUCUUUGCUCAUUGUCG
rnacentral:lncRNA from 1 species